AAUACAAUUUUAUGUAGUCGGGGGCUGGGGCUCUCGUCUGCCUUUGAGGUCCGUUCCAUCAGGAAUGUGGCUAUACCGUCGGAGUGGACGGAGUGGGAGGUGGAUGUGGUCGCAGCUGCUGCUGCUGAUGAUGAUGACGGUGGUGCACAGGAGCCAUAAAACGGAAUUAUACGCAUUCACACAACCGCAAAGCAGUUGAACAAACAAUGAUCCGAAUGUCUCUCGGAUCCCCGGAUAAUGUCUAAAUUUGGCCCGAACGGUGUUGGCCGUAAAAGCCAUUCGGCCCUUGGCUAAGUGCCUUCUCCAUUUCCAUUAUGACUUGAGUGUCAUACGUGAGUCAUCCGCCGCGGCGUUGAUAAUUGCCAAGACAGACUAAUGGCUUAGGGAUUGGGCAUUGGGUUUUGUCGUCGGGCGGUAAGGUGCUGCAUAAAUCCACUUUGAUGACGUCUUAUGCGGGUGGCCGUGACGAAGGCGAUAACCGAUGGCGAAUGGUGCACUUCCUACUCACCUCUGAUUGGAUUAGGUUCGAGGAGAUUAUCAGAAACUAUAUUCGAAGUUUCUGAAGAACAACGAGGCGGGUGUACACUAAAACUUUAAGGAAUGAUCAUGCGAUUGUAUCGGAACAGAGAUAACCUUCAAUGACUGGACUAUUAAAAAUAUACAAUUUUUGUUGUAGAUAUUUUACAGCUUAAAGCGAAUCCCAGUCUUCCAGCUUUUUAAUCGUGCAAAACAGUACAGUUUACAAAUAUGGUUCCUUUCAACGUAGGCUUAAAAAUGCCUUCCCCAAGCACUAGCAUCUUCGUAUGUCAAGAAACGACAUUAAACAAUGUGUAUGGGAAAGCUGUAGGGGAAUAUAUUACCCGUACAGCGAGUUUUAGUGACCAUAUUUCGGUUAUUUUGAGCUAAAUCCGGCCAUGAUUUGCCCUGUAGCUUUUUAAGCUUAACUUAGAAAGCAAAUUUUGAAUCUGAAAGAAAAUGUGUAUUGGUUUAGAAGAAGUCAACCUCAGCACUAGUGCAAAAAGAUGUUUUCUCCCUCAUGAUCCGAUUCCAACGAAAGCGAAACCGACAUCUCCAAAUGCCCGAAAAGAAGUUGAGAAACUUAACGUCUUCCCUGAACGAUAUGUCAGCCCGAUCGCAUCAAGCCAACCAGGCAUGGCCAUGGCCAAAGUGAUCCUGUAAAAUGUAAAACGAAAUUCCCCUAAGCCGCUCAAGAGUCUCCCCGCGAUGGCAUCGUAAAGUGGCCGGUCUCGGCCCGAAUUGAACCGUAGCCAAAGUUCAUGUAACGUCAACGACUCAAUACGGAGCUACUGAUUUACACACAUACAUAUGUAUGCACGCUGGAUUCGGAUCGGGGUAUGGGGAUCGGAGCUAACCCAGGAGCCAGGUCCAGAAGCCAGGUCCAGGUCCAGAGUCACAGAGUCACAGAGCCGCGGAGUCGGACUCUGGCAACAUGAUUGCACGUAUAGUGGAACAAAUUCAUGGCAUACGCGGCAAUCGCAGGCAGCACCUUGGCAAUCAGCAACGCAAACAUCAAGGUUGAAGGACUUCGGCCAGGAAGACUAGACCAAUGAUCUGCUUUUAGAAUACAAAUCUCUUAUUUGAAAAUGAUGAUUUCUAAAAAUUCAAAACCAAGUUUUGAUUUUUUUAUCAUGAUUUUCAUAAAAGUGAUAACAUAUUUCUAAUAUCAUAAGAGGUCUUUCGGUGAUGCCAGGAUCAAUAAAAAUGUUAACCAACUUCACCGAUUUCCGUUGCAAGCCGGCACAUCUCAAGUUUUAUGCUGCUGAAGUUUCUCUUUUUUGGAAGGAAAGGACAUAACAAUAUGCUACCGUCAAUGUCUUUAAA